UACGUAGGGUGCAAGCGUUAAUCGGAAUUACUGGGCGUAAAGCGUGCGCAGGCGGUUAUGUAAGACAGAUGUGAAAUGCCCGGGCUUAACCUGGGAACUGCAUUUGUGACUGCAUGGCUAGAGUUUGGCAGAGGGGGGUAGAAUUCCACGUGUAGCAGUGAAAUGCGUAGAUAUGUGGAGGAACGACCGAUGGCGAAGGCAGCCCCCCUGGGUCAAGACUGACGCUCAUGCACGAAAGCGUGGGGAGCAAACAGG
rnacentral:rRNA from 1 species